GCUAUGUGGGCCACACAGGCUAGGCCAAGUUGGGCGUGUGGGCCGAAAUGGGCAUUCCUCACGAGCGUGUAGAUUCUAGGUCAGGCCGUGUGGGCCACAGGGCCAAGGCCAAUUUAGGCGUGUGGCCACAUGGGGAUGGAUGGGUGUUUUUAAACCUACACGGUGUGAUGGGUUGGUCGGAGCUGGUGUGUAAAGGAUGGGGGUAAUCUACAGACUUAGGCAGAUUGGUGCAGCAGAGACUCAGCGGUGACCAUGCGACCGUAAACUGUUUAAAGUUAGAAAUUAUGGUUUUAUUUAUGAUUUUGGUUUUUAUUUGAGAGUUUGUAAUUUCUGGAACUCUCUGGACUUUAUGAUUUUAAACCGUUGAUUUUUGGAUUGUUGAUAUUCUACAUGCUUGAUUAAAUUA